rnacentral:rRNA from 1 species
GACGUAGGCUGCAAGCGUUAUCCGGGAUUAUUGGGCGUAAAGCGUUCGUAGGUGGUCUGUUAAGUUGGAUGUCAAAUCUUUGAGCUCAACUCAAAAUCGGUGUCCAAAACUAGCAAACUAGAGACAGGUAGAGGUAAGUAGAAUUCUGUAUGUAGGGGUAAUAUCCGUAGAUAUACAGAGGAAUACCAAAAGCGAAGGCAGCUUACUGGACCUGUUCUGACACUCAAGAACGAAAGCGUGGGGAGCAAACGGG